rnacentral:rRNA from 1 species
GAUGAACGCUGGCGGCGUGCCUAAUACAUGCAAGUCGAGCGAACGGACGAGAAGCUUGCUUCUCUGAUGUUAGCGGCGGACGGGUGAGUAACACGUGGAUAACCUACCUAUAAGACUGGGAUAACUUCGGGAAACCGGAGCUAAUACCGGAUGAUAUUUUGAACCGCAUGGUUCAAAAGUGAAAGACGGUCUUGCUGUCACUUAUAGAUGGAUCCGCGCUGCAUUAGCUAGUUGGUAAGGUAACGGCUUACCAAGGCAACGAUGCAUAGCCGACCUGAGAGGGUGAUCGGCCACACUGGAACGGAGACACGGUCCAGACUCCUACGGGAGGCAGCAGUAGGGAAUCUUCCGCAAUGGGCGAAAGCCUGACGGAGCAACGCCGCGUGAGUGAGGAAGGUCUUCGGAUCGUAAAACUCUGUUAUUAGGGAAGAACAUAUGUGUAAGUAACUGUGCACAUCUGGACGGUACCUAAUCAGAAAGCCACGGCUAACUACGU